rnacentral:lncRNA from 10 species
UCAAAGAAUCCUAAAUAAUGCUGCAAGCAUGGUGACUAUCUACAUGGGAAUAUGCAGUACUCCAGUGAAGACAAAACAUAAAUUAAUUUUGGAAUCUGAUGACCAUAAUCUAAAAACAUUCAUAGAGGUAUAUAAAAAUUAUAACAAAAUUUAAAGUAGCAUAUCUCCUCAUGAAGCAGGUUAAGUGUAUACACAAAGAAGGAGGAGGAAAAGGUGAGAAAGAAUCUGCCCUUGUGGGGAAGUGACAGAGGCAGAAGAGGCUGAUGCAGUCCUGCAUCCAGGCCCAGCUCUGCCAGCAGCUGAGUACCCCUGAACAAGCUCCCCCACCUCUUCGGGCCUCACUUUCCCCAUCUAUGAAAGAAAGGGAGUCUAGCUUCCAUAGCUGCCCCAGCUGAUACGCAAGGUGCCAGUGUGUCCUCAGUCCUGUCAGGAGAAACCUUCCCCACUAGAAUCCCAGGAGGAGCUUGAAAUCCUGUCUGGGAUCCUGACGGCCCAGGUGCUGACCCUGCCUCGGGUUGUGUCUGCUAAGAAGUCUGAUUUCUGCUCAUCUCUCCCCAUUUCUUUCUUCCCAUAAAGUGGGCUGAUGCGCUGGAACGUCGAUGCAGCCAGUGAUGUGUUUGAUGAGAAUGUAUUGAGAGUAAAGCUGCCCAGAAUCCAAGUGUGUGUCAUCUGAACUCUUGAAUCAUGGAUGGAAGAUGGUGAACCGAAACUUACAGAGCUCAAGUCACUUGACCAGGCUCCACCCCUACAAGAGGCAGCACGCAAACUAAAAACCAGGCGGCCUUUUCCAAAGCUUGUGCUCUGCUCCACUGCUGGAAGGAACCCUUCGGGGAAUUGAAGCAGCACUGAACAAAGGCCAUUUUUAAGAAGCGACACCAGAAACCUAAGGCGGGGUCCCCGGCUCAACAAGGAUCUCAUGUUUUGUGGGUCAGAGAUUCUUGUGUCGUGUCUGGGUGAGGUCAAAAACCAUGCAGAGACUUUCACUUCCUGUUCUGUGGCAGACAAGACAUCUGAAAAGCUCUCCUGCAGCAACACUUCUAGAUGCCAAGUAAAUCACAGCAAGUGCACUUUUAAAUGUGUUACUAAGAUCAUAAAAAUGAAGGAAAAUGCCCAAGCAUAUCCCCAACCCCUCACCCCACAACCACCACCACCACAAUAAACAAGUUGCUGACAGUGGAUUGGCAAGCGAGAGUGGAACCUUAGGCUGCGUUGGCAUCAAAUACUAAUAACCAAGCAAAAGGGAGCAAGACCAGGCCUGGGGGCUGUGC